UACGUAGGGGGCAAGCGUUGUCCGGAAUUAUUGGGCGUAAAGCGCGUGUAGGCGGCUUUGCAAGUCGGGUGUGAAAUCCCUCGGCUCAACCGAGGAAGUGCGCCCGAAACUGCAGAGCUUGAGUACCGGAGAGGAUGGUGGAAUUCCCCAAGUAGAGGUGAAAUUCGUAGAUAUGGGGAGGAACACCGGUGGCGAAGGCGACCAUCUGGACGGAUACUGACGCUGAGACGCGAAAGCGUGGGGAGCAAACAGG
rnacentral:rRNA from 1 species